AGGACGAACGCUGGCGGCGUGCUUAACACAUGCAAGUCGAACGGUGAAGCCCUUCGGGGUACUCGAGCGGCGAACGGGUGAGUAACACGUGAGUAACCUGCCCCUAGCUCUGGGAUAGCUCCGGGAAACCGGGAUUAAUACCAGAUACGACCACUUUAGACAUCUGUCGUGGUGGAAAGGAUUCCGGCUAGGGAUGGGCUCGCGGCCUAUCAGCUUGUUGGUGGGGUAACGGCCUACCAAGGCGACGAC
rnacentral:rRNA from 1 species